UGAGGAAUUUUGCGCAAUGGGAGCAAUCCUGACGCAGCAACGCCGCGUGGGUGAUGAAGGCCUUCGGGUCGUAAAGCCCUGUCAGGUGGGAAGAAUGUCCCGGGACUGAACAGGUUCCGGGAGUGACGGUACCACCAGAGGAAGCACCGGCUAACUCCGUGCCAGCAGCCGCGGUAAUACGGAGGGUGCAAGCGUUAUUCGGAAUUACUGGGCGUAAAGCGCGUGUAGGCGGUCCUGCAAGUCUGAUGUGAAAGCCCCGGGCUUAACCCAGGAAGUGCAUUGGAAACUGUGGGACUUGAGUACUGGAGAGGAUGGGUGAAUUCCCGGUGUAGAGGUGAAAUUCGUAGAGAUCGGGAGGAACACCAGUGGCGAAAGCGGCCUCCUGGGCCAUUUCUGACGCUAAGACGCGAAAGCUAGGGUAGCAAACG
rnacentral:rRNA from 1 species